GCCACCGUAGCUCAAUUGGCAGAGCAGCGGUUUUGUAAACCGCAGGUUGAGGGUUCGAGUCCCCCCGGUGGCU
rnacentral:tRNA from 1 species